ACGGGUGAGUAACGCGUGGGAACGUACCUUGUGGUUCGGAACAACUGAGGGAAACUUCAGCUAAUACCGGAUAAGCCCUUACGGGGAAAGAUUUAUCGCCGAAAGAUCGGCCCGCGUCUGAUUAGCUAGUUGGUGAGGUAAUGGCUCACCAAGGCGACGAUCAGUAGCUGGUCUGAGAGGAUGAUCAGCCACAUUGGGACUGAGACACGGCCCAAACUCCUACGGGAGGCAGCAGUGGGGAAUAUUGGACAAUGGGCGAAAGCCUGAUCCAGCCAUGCCGCGUGAGUGAUGAAGGCCCUAGGGUUGUAAAGCUCUUCUGUGCGGGAAGAUAAUGACGGUACCGCAAGAAUAAGCCCCGGCUAACUUCGUGCCAGCAGCCGCGGUAAUACGAAGGGGGCUAGCGUUGCUCGGAAUCACUGGGCGUAAAGGGUGCGUAGGCGGGUUCUUAAGUCAGAGGUGAAAUCCUGGAGCUCAACUCCAGAACUGCCUUUGAUACUGAGAGUCUUGAGUAUGACAGAGGUGAGUGGAACUGCGAGUGUAGAGGUGAAAUUCGUAGA
rnacentral:rRNA from 1 species